UUGCCAGACUCCUACGGGAGGCAGCAGUGGGGAAUAUUGCACAAUGGGGGAAACCCUGAUGCAGCGACGCCGCGUGAGUGAAGAAGUAUUUCGGUCUGUAAAGCUCUAUCAGCAGGGAAGAAGAAGGACGGUACCUGAGUAAGAAGCCCCGGCUAACUACGUGCCGGCAGCCGCGGUAAUACGUAGGGGGCAAGCGUUAUCCGGAUUUACUGGGUGUAAAGGGAGCGUAGACGGCGAAGAAAGUCUGAAGUGAAAGCCCGCGGCUCAACCGCGGAAUGGCUUUGGAAACUUUUUUGCUGGAGUACCGGAGAGGUAAGCGGAAUUCCUAGUGUAGCGGUGAAAUGCGUAGAUAUUAGGAGGAACACCAGUGGCGAAGGCGGCCUGCUGGACAGUAACUGACGUUGAGGCUCGAAAGCGUGGGGAGCAAACAGGAUUAGAUACCCCCGUAAC
rnacentral:rRNA from 1 species